rnacentral:piRNA from 1 species
UACUCCUAGAGUACUUGCCAAGGUAGC